UUUAUGGAAAUUUCUAUCCAACCUAGGCUACCAGUCCCAUCUAAAAAAACCGCUAAGAAAAUGGAAGAUAAACCCUAAUGAGAAGAUUGAGCCGACCUAUAUAAUUCACCACAUUCAUUCAAUAUAAUGACAACUCUAAUUAGACAAAUAAUGGAGAUAAUUGGUGAAGAAGAUGGAAAUGAUGAUGAUGAUGAUGAAUAAGAGCUCAAAGCAAAUAUUCUCCAAUUUGAGGAUAUACCAAAUCAAGCUCCUUAGGUUAAAAUCAUCAUCCUUCGAAACUGAUGUUUGUGAGCCCUAGAGAUAAAUUUUGAAGGCCGGAUAAGAUAGGGAUCCACAUUCUAGACCUUGGAUUUGAAUCAAAUCCCUUGAUUUCUAUCUUUUUGGAAUGACAGCAAAGUUUUGAAUUUCCAUCAUUAAUGUUGUGCUAAUUACAGCACUGGCAAUAUUGACCUAAACACCUUAUAUGGUAUGAAAUUGUAUGAUAGGACAAAACCGGCAGGUGGUAUCAAGAAACCAAAUCCCAGAGAUAGAACACGUCGUUUUAGAAACCCGAGAAGGGAAGAGGAGAAAUAAACGCAUGUCUUCUCUAUAUAAACAUCUUAUUCGCCAAACCCUCACAGUCAUCAAAUGGAACAAACCAUAGAUAGCCGCCGCCUGCCACAGAGCUCAACUACUUGAAGAGAAGAAAGCCAGUGUCAUAUUUCAUUUAUAAUAACUCUGGGUUCUGCGGACCCAAGAAAUGAAGGGACGAAGGACCUUCAUUUCCGAAUGGACCCGGAUGAAAAACUUAUCAAACAUGUCCUUCUGUAGUGAUUUUGGUCAUGGAGCCAGUUAUCUUCACGUAGAUGUGUUGAAAAACACACAGAUUCCUCGUACAUGUAGUGAUUUCGGUUAUAAGGGUCUGUCAGAUACUGCCUAAACAGGAGCCUGGCGGAGAAGUUGGUAAACAAAGGGCAGAACCAACUUGAACUAGAUCGUUUCCGAGAUCUGAUGUUUGUUCAUUACAUUCUGCAACUCGAAGAAACCAACAAAAAGAAACGAAAGGCUGGGGGCGAGAUUGAUAGUCGAGGUCCAUCAGGAUCUCAAUCCAAUAAAAGGCAGAGAUCAAGGUAAAGAUGAAGAGGACGUUGCUGCUGAUAUUUAUUGUAUUCAUCAAGUUUUGAAUGUUAACAAAUUCUGACUACCUUGGUAUGAUAUGGUUGCUACAUGUCAUUUAAAGUCAAGAUA